rnacentral:rRNA from 1 species
AUUGAACGCUGGCGGCAGGCCUAACACAUGCCAGUCGAACGGUAACAGGAAACAGCUUGCUGUUUCGCUGACGAGUGGCGGACGGGUGAGUAAUGUCUGGGAAACUGCCUGAUGGAGGGGGAUAACUACUGGAAACGGUAGCUAAUACUGCAUAACGUCGCAAGACCAAAGAGGGGGACCCUCGGGCCUCUUGCCAUCGGAUGUGCCCAGAUGGGAUUAGCUUGUUGGUGGGGUAACGGCUCACCAAGGCGACGAUCCCUAGCUGGUCUGAGAGGAUGACCAGCCACACUGGAACUGAGACACGGUCCAGACUCCUACGGGAGGCAGCAGUGGGGAAUAUUGCACAAUGGGCGCAAGCCUGAUGCAGCCAUGCCGCGUGUAUGAAGAAGGCCUUCGGGUUGUAAAGUACUUUCAGCGGGGAGGAAGGGAGUAAAGUUAAUACCUUUGCUCAUUGACGUUACCCGCAGAAGAAGCACCGGCUAACUCCGU